CCCUUAGAUGUCCUGGGCCGCACGCGCGCUACACUGAGUGUCUGAGAUACGAGUCUGCCUGGUCCGGCAAGGUCAAGGUAAUCGCUAAAAGACACAUCAUGCUUGGGAUAGAUUAUUGCAAAUAUUAAUCUUGAACGAGGAAUUCCUAGUAAGCGCAAGUCAACAGCUUGCGUUGAUUACGUCCCUGCCCUUUGUACACACCGCCCGUCGCUACUACUGAUUGGAUGUUUAAGCGAGGUUCUCGAACUGCUAGCGACUUAGCUUCGGUGAGGUCGCAGUGUGGGAAGUGAACCUAGCUUUGGUGUCUAGAGGAAGUAAAAGUCGUAACA
rnacentral:rRNA from 1 species